rfam:Apaloderma vittatum contig8419, whole genome shotgun sequence.
GGCUGGUUAGCUCAGUCAGUUAGAGCAUGGUGAUGAUAACACCAAGGUCGUGGGUUCGAUCCCGGUUCAGUCC